GAUGAACGCUGGCGGCGUGCCUAAUACAUGCAAGUCGAGCGAACCACUUCGGUGGUGAGCGGCGAACGGGUGAGUAACACGUAGGGGAUCUGCCCAUCAGACGGGGACAACGAUUGGAAACGAUCGCUAAUACCGGAAAGGACGAAAUUUUAAAGGUGCUUCUGGCACCGCGGAUGGAUGAGCCUGCGGCGCAUUAGCUAUUUGGUAGGGUAAAGGCCUACCAAGGCGACGAUGCGUAGCCGACCUGAGAGGGUGAACGGCCACACUGGGACUGAGACACGGCCCAGACUCCUACGGGAGGCAGCAGUAGGGAAUCUUCGGCAAUGGGCGAAAGCCUGACCGAGCAACGCCGCGUGAAUGAUGAAGGCCUUCGGGUUGUAAAAUUCUGUUAUAAGGGAAGAACGACUUUAGUAGGAAAUGGCUAGAGUGUGACGGUACCUUAUGAGAAAGCCACGGCUAACUACGUGCCAGCCGCCGCCGUAAAAC
rnacentral:rRNA from 1 species